AGGAUACGCUGCUCGGCGGAGGCAGCAUCCGGCGCACGCACCAACAGGUAGAGCUUCUUCACAUCAGGCUGAACCCUCAGUAUCUUCUCCACCAGCACUGCAUGUUCAUAUUAAUACAGGUGGGGAUCUGAAGCUGCUGGAUCGAGGUCUGGUUACAACUGGAAAGCCAGGGCCGAAGAACCGCAGGAUCAUCUGUGACGUGGUCUGAUGCCGCAGGAUGGAAGCUGUCAGGGGGCUGGGGCGUGUGAGUUCUUUCGGUUUUGACUUGUUAUAUAUUACUGUUUUCUUUCAGUUUUUACUCUUGUAAGGAUGAGUUUAAGACUCUCAUCUUUCAUUCUUUGCUAGAGAACGGGGCAGAUAGCAUUUUUGCUCCAAAAAGAAGAAAAACAAACGCCUUGGCAAUCAAUACCCAUCGUGGUUGAUCCAUGUCGAAAACAACUGUAACUUGCCCUUAAAAGGGAACCAUAUAUCAGCUGGCACCUACUGACA